UGGUUGAUCCUGCCAGAGGUCACUGUUAUCGCGGUUCGACUAAGCCAUGCGAGGCGCGAGUCAUCUGGACUCGCCGCACUGCUCAGUAACACGUGGUUAACUUACUCUUAGUAAAGGGAUAAUCCUGGGAAACUGGGGCUAAUACCUUAUAGUUGUCAGAUGCUGGUAUGCGUUGACAAUCAAAGCUCCGGCGGCUAAGAAUAGGACUGCGGCCUAUCAUGGCAGUUGUGAGUAUAAGAUACUCACAAACCUAUAACGGGUAGGGGCCAUGAGAGUGGAAGCCUCGAGAUGCAUUCUGAGACAUGAAUGCAGGCCCUACGGGACGCAGCAGGCGCGAAAGCUUUCCGAUGCCUUAACGGGUGAGAGGGGAACCCUGAGUGGCUAUGCAAUGCAUAGUCUUUUGCUUUGUCUAAAUAGCAAGGCGAAUAAGUGGUGAGUAAGACGGGUGGCAGCCGCCGCGGUAAUACCCGCGCCACGAAUGGUGAUCGCGAUUAUUGGGUUUAAAGCGUCCGUAGCCGGCUUAGAAAGUUCCUGGUGAAAUCUGCUAGCAAACUAGCAAGCAUGCUGGGAAAACUUCUGGGCUCGGGAUUGGGAGAGGAUAGGGGUAUUCCGUGAGUAGGGGUUAAAUCCUUUAAUCCACGGAGGACCACCGGUGGCGAAGGCGCCUAUCUGGAACAAGUCCGACGGUGAGGGACGAAAGCUAGGGGAGCAAACGGGAUUAGAUACCCCGGUAGUCCUAGCUGUAAACGAUGCCCGUUUGAUGUUGCAGGCUCUACGGGAGCUUGCAGUGUCGGAGCGUAAGUGUUAAACGGGCCACCUGGGGAGUACGACCGCAAGGUUGAAACUUAAGGGAAUUGGCGGGAGAGCACACAAGAGGUGGAGGCUGCGGUUUAAUUGGAGUCAACGCCGAAAAUCUCACGAGGGUUGACAGCAGAAUGAAGGUCAGUUUAAAGGGCUUACCAGACAAGCUGAGAGGAGUUGCAUGGCCAUCGUCAGCUCGUACCUUGAGGCGUGCGGUUAAGUCCGUUAACGAGCGAGACCCACACUUUCAUUUACCACCGCAUUUUUAGACCAUCCGGUCAAAAGAAUGCGGGUACUAUGAAAGGACCGCUGGUGAUAAACCAGAGGAAGGAGUGGGCGACGGUUGGUCCGUAUGGCCCGAAUACCUUCGGCUACACGCGGCCUACAAUGGUUAGGACAAAGCGCUGCAACACCGAAAGGUGAAGCCAAUCGCCUAAACCUAACCUCAGUUCAGAUUGAGGGCUGUAACUCGCCCUCAUGAAGCCGGAAUCUCUAGUAAGCGAACGUCAUGAUCGUUUGCUGAAUGCGUCCCUGCUCUUUGCACACACUGCCUGUCAAGCCAUGCGAGUGAACUCAUGGUGAGGCUUAACUUUAAUUAAGUCGAGCCAAGGAUUCGCGAGUGGGGCUAAGUCAUAACAAGGUA
rnacentral:rRNA from 1 species